UUAAUUGAAGAGUUUGAUCAUGGCUCAGAUUGAACGCUGGCGGCAGGCCUAACACAUGCAAGUCGAGCGGAAACGACUUAACUGAACCUUCGGGGGACGUUAAGGGCGUCGAGCGGCGGACGGGUGAGUAAUGCCUGGGAAUAUGCCUUAGUGUGGGGGAUAACUAUUGGAAACGAUAGCUAAUACCGCAUAAUGUCUUCGGACCAAAGAGGGGGACCUUCGGGCCUCUCGCGCUAAGAUUAGC
rnacentral:rRNA from 1 species